CAGGCAGUCCAGCUUCCUAACUCCUAGCUCAGUGUGUGUGAGAAGGGCAGGAGGAAGAAGGUAUGAUUCCUUGACUUGGGUGCCAAGAGGACCCAUGGAGGUCAGCACUGUGCAACAAAGCUCCUGGAGAUGGGGUUUCCUAGGCUGACUCUGGUGUUUCUCAGGCAGGGGCCUCAAACUCAAAUGCCUACAGGAACACACAGAAGUGCUGCAUCCCCAGACACCUAUGAAUAAGGAACUACUAUUGCCACCAUUUCACAUAAGGAAUCUGAGGCUCAGAGAGACUGAAUAACUCAACUUCAAUCACACAGCUAGGAGGUGUCAGAGACAAAUGUGAAGUUGAGGUUGUCUAAUUUCAGCUUCCACAUUUUUAACCCUACAUCUGCUGUGGAGCUUCCAACCCUAGCACUAACAGAUCUGAGAAAUAUGAGGGAGUUAGACAGGGACAGCAUUCAUUCAUCUAGUUGGAGAGAUAAAGUAGACAUGUAUUCAUUAAAAUCCAGGCUUAUGCAUAUACCAAACCAUAAGCCCCUGGGCAAACU
rnacentral:lncRNA from 10 species